rnacentral:rRNA from 1 species
GAUGAACGCUGGCGGCGUGCCUAAUACAUGCAAGUCGAACGCUGGAGAUCUAGCUUGCUAGAUCGAAGGAGUGGCGAACGGGUGAGUAAUACAUAAGCAACCUACCCACGAAGACUGGGAUAAUCUCUGGAAACGGGGACUAAUACCGGAUAGGUAAUCGGAAGGCAUCUUCUGAUUAUUAAAGGUUAAAAACACUGGUGGAUGGGCUUAUGGCGCAUUAGUUAGUUGGUGAGGUAACGGCCCACCAAGACGAUGAUGCGUAGCCGGCCUGAGAGGGUGAACGGCCACAUUGGGACUGAGACACGGCCCAGACUCCUACGGGAGGCAGCAGUAGGGAAUUUUCGGCAAUGGGGGAAACCCUGACCGAGCAACGCCGCGUGAGUGAUGACGGCCUUCGGGUUGUAAAGCUCUGUUGUAAGGGAAGAACGGUAGAUAGAGAAUAUCUAAGUGACGGUACCUUACCAGAAAGCCACGGCUAACUACGUGCCAGCAGCCGCGGCAAUACGUAGGGUGCGAGCGUUAAUCGGAAUUACUGGGCGUAAAGCGAGCGCAGACGGUUACUUAAGCAGGAUGUGAAAUCCCCGGGCUUAACCUGGGAACUGCGUUCUGAACUGGGUAGCUAGAGUAUGUCAGAGGGGGGUAGAAUUCCACGUGUAGCAGUGAAAUGCGUAGAGAUGUGGAGGAAUACCGAUGGGCGAAGGCAGCCCCCUUGGAUGAUACUGACGUUCAUGCUCGAAAGCGUGGGUAGCAAACAGG